CCCAUCGGUCGCAUUUGGUCGGAAACCAUGGACUGCGCCGGCAGCGGAAGCCGAACCCCAUGUUCCGGUCCGGCUACAAGACGUUGCGGUCGCUGUCAAGUUGUCGCUUAUUGCUCCAUCUCUCACCAGGUUGCACACUUGAAUGUACACAAGAAAGAGUGUCAAAGGUUAGAACAGCAAAUGAAGCAAGCUCAUGUUGUGAGUGAUUUCCCUUUUACAUUUUCUGAAGAAGCUACUGUUCAGGUAUGUGAUAAACGCAUGACAAGGUGUUCAUUCUUGAUAAAACUGGGAAUUCACCGUGUAGGAAUGUGGAUGUCUGAAUGUAGCUGUGGGGCGUCUAUAACAUUGAACUGCUCAAGGCUCAUUGAAGGCUGGAACUUAUCUAGUAAAAUGUGUCCUUGUAGAGAGCCAUCCACUGUAUUACCAGAGCUACUUAGUGGUUGGAAGGAAUAUUAUGAAUGGAGGUGCAUUCCGCUAUAUUCUCCUGUUGCCGUACUACUUCACUGGCCAUUGACGCUGUAUUGGGCCAUUAAGCUGGCAGUUCAAGGGAACCUGAUUCCUGAAAUAAGUAAUGAGCUACGCAUACAUUAUUUAGGUCCUGAAAAAGAGCUUCAUCAGCUUGCUGCUUUCAGUGAACUGUAUGCAGUUUUUCCUGGUGUUCGAAUGUAUAUAGAUCUUGUGGGACCUGCAAUUCCAGAAGAAAGGAAUGGCGAGAGAAUUGAACUUCGUGAUUAUGCUCAUUGUACAGAGACCAACUGCAAAGGUAAAUGUUCGACUGAGAGUUUUGGCCCAACAUCAUUGUCAAGCGGAACUUCAGCCAUUAAAUUAAAGCUUCAUGCUGGUUAUUAUCAUGAUUGUUAUAAAAAUCUCAACAAGGGUUCUCCUCCUAAUCUAAUUAUCGCACCAAAUGCUGGUGUCGCUGCUUACAGAAGCUGGUUACCAACCAUUGAGCUUAUCAAGGAGAUCAAAGUUCCUGCAUUUUUCUCUGAUUACUGUGAAGAAGCUUGUAAUCUAGCAAUUAGUUGCACAAGCUCAGUGACUAACGCUUCUCCUAUCGUUCCUAUCCAAUUAAAUCCUUUUAGGCAACCCCUUGCAGUAGAAGACAGUGCCUUGUUUCUUCCAUGCUACUCAAAUUGCUUCAUCUUUGGGAUUUGAAGUAGCUUUAAGAUCCUUCAAGGAUGCAAUGGUUCGACUAUAUUAAAACAUGAUAGCAGAUUAAGGAUUAAAAUUUUUGAGUCUAUUAUACUGCUACUGCCGACCCAAAUUUAUUUGAGAUUGAGACGUAGUUGUUGAUUGAUAAUAGGUGAUAUAUGUAUAAGGAAGGCUAAGGAGCAGUUUUGGAGUCAA